rnacentral:rRNA from 1 species
GAUGAACGCUGGCGGCGUGCCUAAUACAUGCAAGUAGAACGCUGAAGCUUGGUGCUUGCACCGAGCGGAUGAGUUGCGAACGGGUGAGUAACGCGUAGGUAACCUGCCUCAUAGCGGGGGAUAACUACUGGAAACGAUAGCUAAUAUCGCAUAAAAGUCGAUAUCGCAUGAUAUUGACUUGAAAGGUGCAAUUGCAUCACUAAGAGGUGGACCUGCGUUGUAUUAGAGAGUUGGUGAGGUAACGGCUCAACAAAGCGACGAUACAUAGCACAACGGAGAGGGUUAUCGGCGACAAUGGGACUGAGACACGGCCCAGACUCCUACGGGAGGCAGCAGUAGGGAAUCUUCGGCAAAGGGGGCAACCCUGACCGAGCAACGCCGCGUGAGUGAAGAAGGUUUUCGGAUCGUAAAGCUCUGUUGUAAGAGAAGAACGAGUGUGAGAGUGGAAAGUUCACACUGUGACGGUAACUUACCAGAAAGGGACGGCUAACUACGUGCCAGCAGCCGCCGUAAGAC